rnacentral:rRNA from 1 species
UUCUGGUUGAUCCUGCCGGACCUGACUGCUAUCGGAUUGAUACUAAGCCAUGCGAGUCAUUGUAGUAAUACAAGGCAGACGGCUCAGUAACGCGUAGUCAACCUACCCUAUGGACGAGGAUAAUCUCGGGAAACUGAGGAUAAUACUCGAUAGACCAUUAUGCCUGGAACGGUUUAUGGUUAAAAUGAUUCGUCGCCAUAGGAUGGGACUGCGGCCUAUCAGCUUGUUGGUGAGGUAAUGGCCCACCAAGGCGAUUACAGGUACGGGCUCUGAGAGGAGAAGCCCGGAGAUGGGUACUGAGACAAGGACCCAGGCCCUAUGGGGCGCAGCAGGCGAGAAAACUUUGCAAUGUGCGAAAGCACGACAAGGUUAGUCCGAGUGAUUUCUGCUAAAGAAAUCUUUUGCAAGUCAUAAAACCACUAGUGAAUAAGGGGUGGGCAAGUUCUGGUGUCAGCCGCCGCGGUAAAACCAGCACCUCAAGUGGUCAGGAUGAUUAUUGGGCCUAAAGCAUCCGUAGCCGGCUCUGUUAGUUUUCGGUUAAAUCUAUGUGCUCAACGCAUGGGCUGCCGAAAAUACUGCAGGGCUAGGGAGUGGGAGAGGUAGACGGUACUCGGUAGGAAGGGGUAAAAUCCUUUGAUCUAUCGAUGACCACCUGUGGCGAAGGCGGUCUACCAGAACACGUUCGACGGUGAGGGAUGAAAGCUGGGGGAGCAAACCGGAUUAGAUACCCGGGUAGUCCCAGCUGUAAACGAUGCAGACUCGAUGAUGCAUUGGCUUAUUGCCAAUGCAGUGUCGCAGGGAAGCCGUUAAGUCUGCCGCCUGGGAAGUACGUACGCAAGUAUGAAACUUAAAGGAAUUGGCGGGGGAGCACCACAAGGGGUGAAGCCUGCGGUUCAAUUGGAUUCAACGCCGGA